rnacentral:rRNA from 1 species
UACAGAGGGUGCGAGCGUUAAUCGGAAUUACUGGGCGUAAAGCGCGCGUAGGCGGCUUUGCAAGUCGGGUGUGAAAUCCCCCAGGCUUAACCUGGGAACUGCAUUCGAGACUGCAUUGCUAGAGUAUGGGAGAGGGAAGUGGAAUUCCGGGUGUAGCGGUGAAAUGCGUAGAUAUCCGGAGGAACACCGGUGGCGAAGGCGGCUUCCUGGGACCGACACUGACGCUGAGGCGCGAAAGCGUGGGUAGCAAACAGG